GGGUUUCGCGGCGCUCGCCGCACUGGUUGUUCAGCACCUUCGGUCCGGUUGAGGUUGUCAAGUCGGACCAAACAGGUUGUUUCUCUGCAGUUUCCAAGACAGGGUCUCACUAUGUUGCCCAGGCUGGUCUUGAACUCCUGGCUUCAAGCAGUCCUCCCACCUUGGCCUCCCAAAGUGCUGGGAUUACAGACAUGGCAGGGAGGUUUAAUAGACAUGGAUAAGAAGUCCACUCACAGAAAUCCUGAAGAUGCCAGGGCUGGCAAAUAUGAAGGUAAACACAAACGAAAGAAAAGAAGAAAGCAAAACCAAAACCAGCACCGAUCCCGACAUAGAUCAGUGACGUCUUUUUCUUCAGAUGAUCCUAUGUUUCCUUCUUCCUCAUCAUCGUCUUCAGGAAGCCAGACAGAUUCAAGUAUUGAAGAUGCUGCCAAGGGAAAAAUUAAGAAGAAGAGAAGAGAGAAAACAAAUAAAUGGGAAAAAAGAAAGGACAAAAUAUGAAACACCAAGAAAAAGAGAAGGAAAAAAAGGAGGAAACAACCACAUAUGUCACCUUUCCAAGAGGGACUGAAACUGGGCUGACCCUUUUGAUUUCCAAGCUCAGCGUUUUGGUGUAAGGCGGCCAAAGAAGGAUGCGGAGCCCAGCACUGUGAAGCCUACAAAAACAUUGAUGCGCUGGCUUGGGGAUUUGAAUUUGAACAUCUUUCACACUAAGUUCAGACUCAUGAAACCAAUCUUCAGAUGCUCUGUAAACCACAUAAUAAAGAGUUUGGAAAUUAUA
rnacentral:lncRNA from 1 species